AUCACCUCCGGAUCAGCUCCCCUACCCUUAGAAGCUUUGGUGUUUCGGAUGACCGCGAAGAGCUCUGGGAUCUUGAGAGGCUGAAAGAAGUCGUCAUCGAGGAUGCCCCUCUCCUGGAAAGGUUCUUCAUCAGGCAUUUGGAAGAGGGAGAUGGACAUGAUGGUCUAUCGGUUCGCAUAUCCGGGGCGCCCAAACUCUAGUUCUUGGGAUCUCUGGCGGAGCUAGCAGUCAAUUCAAGAGGGGGCCGAUCGCUACAGUCCACUGUACCUAUUACCUAUUGUCCAGUAUUUACGCCUGUUCUAAAUAAAAGUUAUACAAACUAGAAAAUAGAUGAUUUAUUGGGGAAGCAACUCUUGAGGUUUAGCCUUUAAGAAGCAAGGAAAAGGAAGCAAAUCUGAACUAUAUUAGGCAGUAGACAAAACUGAUGAUAAAUAAAUUGGUACAAUAUGGACUAGCACUGCUGUUGUGCAACUUGCUACUACGUAGAUCCUUUAAAACUUAUCCAUGACAGGGGGGGGGGGGGGGGGCGGAGCCCACCUUGGCCCCCAUGAGGCUCCGCCAGUGAUUGGCCUUGUGAAAUGUUUUCCCUGCUUGCAGAAGCUAUAUGCCUUGGUAUUUCUGGACAAGGAGCCAAAAAGAGCGUGAGUUCAUGAUCCAAGUGAUUAUCUGGAAUGCCUUGAUCUCCAUCUGAAGAAAUUGGUACUGAUAAAUUAUCGAGGGAUAAAGAGAGACGUGGAAUUUGCCAAGUUCUUCUUUUUGAAAGCAAGACUGCUAAAAAUGAUGGAAUUGGCAACCCGCCGUCAGAGCUGUGAUUUGAAAUAUUUGACUACACAGGGUACCAAACUGCAGCUGAAGAGCAGAGCCUCUAAAGAUGCUCAAGUUCUCUUUUCAUGCCAUAACUAUUCAAAUGAUUCCAUGUACAUCAGGCAUAUGCAUGAUCUGAGCAUUGGUGAUCCCUUUGAUCAGUCGUUGUGUAGCUGUAAAAGUUUCCAGUUUCUUUGAGCUGGUAUGCUGCAAACCAUAGAUGGAAUAUUAAUGGUUUCUGCUUACAUUCAGGAAACCUUAACUACCUCUGAUAGGAUGUAUUCUGUUCAUCUAUGCAGCCACUGCAUAGAUAUAUUAUCUGGUGUUACUUUGUUUUGCUGUCUUUAUCAAGCUAUACAGGUCUCAGUUCCAACCUUUUCUUC